rnacentral:lncRNA from 1 species
UAAACUCUACCUAUAAAAUAAUACUUAAAAAUCUGAAAAGGGUACUAAAAAAUCUGGAGCGCAGCUUUACACACGAGACCAUCCCCUGACCUCGUCUUCUUCAUUCCCCCACCCCAAACGAUCCUUUAACUUCUCUCUAACCAAGCAGCGGAGAACUCACCGGAAUUCACCAUCGGUCGACCACCCCAUAAACACCAUCGCCCCUUGACUUCAUAUUCUUCAGCUGUUUUCAUCGGAGAAACCCCAGCCAUGGACGUCACCUGAACUCCAAUCUCAAAACAAAUUCGGUUAGAUCUAAUAUUUUUGGCAAUUUGUAUAUUUUGCUGGCGAUUUUCAGCCCAAUACUUGCCUUCAUUCACUGUCGAAGAGAAUCGAAACAAACUUCUGGAUUCAAAAAAAAAUUCUGGAUUUGGAAAUGAAAACCCUUCAAAAACUGAAAACAAAGAUAGAAAUAAAUGAGGACUUCCAGAUUUCAUGGGGAUUUCGUCAAUUAAUAUGGUUCUAUGGUGAAGCUCAGUCCGUCGAUUCCAGCUGAGGUCCCAGUCGUUGUUCCUGUCAGAGCUCGGAUUUCAACGCUUAGAGUCAUUUCUAAACAGAUUUAAUCGAAAGAAAUUUCAGGUUCACUUCCUAAUUCCUUCUUUGUUAUAUUUUGGUGCGAUUAAAGUACGAUAAAAGCCAUAGGGAGUUUUAUUUUCUUUGAACGAUAGGUCCUCGAUCAAAUUGCAGUAGAAAUUGAAUUUGGAGUAGUAUUUAGUACUGAUUUGUAUUUAAAAAGGGUUUUUGACAUGUCGCCCUUGCUGUUUGAAUUCUGGUCAUUGCCUAUGUUUUGAAUUGCUUAGCCGUCGUUAUGGUGUUGAAGUAUUUCUUGAGUCGAGUUUUAUUCGAUUUGUAAAGGAUGAUCCGUUCAACUUUGCGAUUGUUAAAUGGGCAUGAAUCAGUGAUGCAUCUUCUCAUGGUGUUUAGUUGGGAUUUCUGAUUUUUCAGUACAAGUGAGUUUGGUGUUAUAAUACUCAGACCAUAGUAAAAAUUGUUGGGGUCGUACGUCUACCCUUCAGUGCCUGAAUUAUUCCGUUUUUCUUUGAAAAUGCGUAGCAAUUUGUGCUUAGAUUCUUUCACUAUCAAGAGUGAUCAUAUGUUCUGGACAUGAAAUAGUCAGUUUAAUGUCUUUAGUUUUCCAUGAGAUGCAUUAUUUUGUUUUGAGAGCUUCUUACACAAGUUGCUAGCAACCUUGCAGUUAACGUUGUUGUAUGAAUUUGAGCCACUGCCUAUUACAUAUGUUCCAUGUAUAUAGGUAGAGAUUUGACUAAGUACAUCUAUUUAAGUUCAUUCAAUUAACUCUGUUAGUUUCAAAAUUGCAUCUUUGUUUAUUCUAGCCAUCGGCAUAUGUUGAUUCAAUUAACUGAACCAUGACUUUCCUUUGAAUGCAUGAGCAGCCAUCACUCAUGCAAUCUAGGAUUUCUUAAAAGGGGUAAACGUGUUCUUAUUUGAAUUUGGUGAGAUUUGAGAUUGUUAGUGAGUUUUUUUGUCUCAUUAGUUGGAGAGGUUCAUUUUUUGAAAAGACAAAUUGUUAAAUUCUUUGGUUGCUAAAAGGGGUAGUGAUGUGCUUAGAAGAAGUUAAUUCAUGAAUCAAACGUUAUGUUUAACUACUAGCUUCUUAGUCAUGUCAUUGCAGCUUUCUUCAUGUUGUCUUAAAGGUGAAGUAGAUGGCUAAUAUUUAUCUUGGUCAUGCAAAUUUUGUGC